rnacentral:lncRNA from 1 species
AAAGGUGUACUUUCAAAUAAAUUGAUUUAAUUUAAUAUAAUAAUUGACCAUUAAUAAUGUAAGAUUCUCAAUAGCAUAUUUAUAUAUGAUAUGUAGAUCAUACCCCAAAUCAAUAUACAGUUAUCAAACGUAAAUGCAUUUUAAUAUAGGAUGCCAUUAAAAAGGAGGGUCAUUUUUAUAUAAAAUCUCGCAAAAUUAUGACCCAUAUUUUUGGCACAUCCCCGUAUACCCAAUAA